rnacentral:lncRNA from 1 species
AUUUCUUGAAUUUUGGACUGCCAAAUUGAAUCCAUCAUUAUGAAUUUGAAAAACUAUCAUCAUAUUCAUCAUUUUAUUGUCUUAAAACUUCUAGAUACCGGUACUGAUUUUUGUCAAAAUAGGAUUAAGAUUAAUAUAUAUAUAUAUCAAAUUUGAGGCUUCUAUUUUUAUUGACCAUUUUUUGAGUAUAUUUUUCAACCAAUAUGUAAAAGGAUAUUUUUUUUCCACAUAAAGCACUCAAAUGAUUAAGAAAUAACAAUAUUUAAAACUAAUUUUCCAUAAACUAAACAAAAAUAAUUUAAUUUCUCUCUUCUACCUCUUCGGAGUGAAAUUUUCGAUUGCCCGAUUUUUGCACACCAGUGAAGUAGGUCCUUCAUAAUAUUCCUUAAAUUUUAAUUAUGUAGAUCCUAGGGAUAUACCCAAAUUCAACCAGAUAGUUGCAUACAUGAUGUUUUAUAUAGGCCUAUAUAAGAUUUCUUGAAUAAAUAUUUUAUUAUAAUUAAAAAAAAUAUAUAAAGUUUUACUGAUGGCAAAUUUUUAUAAAUAAAAAUAAAUAAUAUUCAUGUGAUUAAUUUCAAAGAUAAAAAUUUUUAAAAAGUUUGAAGUGACUCUAUCUUAUAACGAAAUCGCGUAGGAAUCUCUAAGUCAUCUGCAUAAUUAAUGAAGAUCAAUCUCAUAAAAUUAAAAUAUUCUGUUAUGUCUUGUUCUUUAGCUAUUUUUAAGAGAGAAAAACAAAUGAGCGAUCUCAUUCUAUUGAAAAAGUUACUAAACAUACAGUUCUAUACAGAAUCAACAAGAACGUUAAUGCAGAAAAAGUCUUGUUGUUCCUUUUUUUUUUUUUUUUUUUUUUCAAUCACACAAAUCUCUGAAACCCGACAAGCCCCGGCCCUAUAUGUGUCGGAUUAGAG